rnacentral:rRNA from 1 species
UACGAAGGGGGCUAGCGUUGUUCGGAUUUACUGGGCGUAAAGCGCGCGUAGGCGGGUUUUCAAGUCGGUUGUGAAAUCCCUCAGCUCAACUGAGGAACUGCAUCCGAUACUGUCUGUCUUGAGGACGAGAGGGGAAAGUGGAACUUCUGGUGGAGCGGUGAAAUGCGUAGAUAUCAGAAGGAACGCCGGUGGCGAAAGCGACUUUCUGGCUCGUAUCUGACGCUGAGGCGCGAAAGCUUGGGUAGCAAACGGG